rnacentral:rRNA from 1 species
UACGUAGGGCGCAAGCGUUGUCCGGAAUUAUUGGGCGUAAAGAGCUCGUAGGCGGUUUGUCGCGUCUGCUGUGAAAACCUCAGGCUCAACCUGGGGCUUGCAGUGGGUACGGGCAGACUAGAGUGCGGUAGGGGUGACUGGAAUUCCUGGUGUAGCGGUGGAAUGCGCAGAUAUCAGGAGGAACACCGAUGGCGAAGGCAGAUCUCUGGGCCGUAACUGACGCUGAGGAGCGAAAGCGUGGGGAGCGAACAGG